rnacentral:lncRNA from 1 species
GAGAAAGCAAGGGUUAGAUUAAUCAGCUAAUUCAGGUGAGGAUCUGUUUAUUCUUUAAAUCAAAUAACCGAGUCAUGUUUUGUAUUAUAUCACUGUGUUAUGUGUUGUUGUGAUGCUUGGUUUGAUUGGGGUUUGGGGGUUUGUUAAAUCGGAGUUGAGAAUUGGGGGUGUUCGGCAGUUGGUGGUGGUGGUGUUGAAGGAGCGGCGGCGAUUAACGCCGUCGACGGAGUCGUAGCAGCGUGGUGAAGCGAGGUUUGUAGUGGCUGUUGUUGGGUUGGUGUUGGGAGGCGGCGGAGGAGCGCCGUACUGCUGCGCCGUGAGGAGAAUCGAGCGGCGACUGGCGGAGAUGUGGUGGUUGUUGUCGGAGUAGGAGGAGACGGCGUCGCGUGUGACACAACAGCAGCGUUGUCGCGCUCUGGGCAGCCAUGGUUGUUCAGAGAGAGAGAUUUGAGAGAGAGAGGGGGAGAGGGAGAGGGGCUGCCGGAUUCCGGCGGGUGGUGGCUGUCCGAUGGUGGCCCUCGGUGGCGCCGGGCAGAUUUUUCCGGAAAAAAACAAAAGAGAAUGUUGAUUUUAUUUUUAUUAUUGUUAUUAUUAUUAUUGUUUUAAUUAGCGAUGAUAAUAAUAAUAAUAAUAAUAAUAAUAAUAAUAGUAAUAAUAAUAAUAAUAAUAAUAAUAAUGAAAUUAAUAUCUAAUUUUGAAUGUUUAUAUUAUAGUGCAAGGUGUGUUGUGAAUACUGUACUUAUAUACGUAUACUUGUGGUACAUGUACAACUUAAAAUCCCGAAACUUAAUUGUUUAGUGUAUUGUGACGAUUGUAUAAAUUAUUUCAGUCCCGGGAGUUUAGUUGGUUAUUAUUUGAUUGUGGUAAAUAGAUAUUAAAUUGAUUGUUGGUUGGUGGGAUUAUUUUAAAACGAAGGAAGUGUUGUCUGAAUUUUGGUUUAUUAUGAAGAAUUGGAUUUGUAUUUGGGAAUCUGAUUUAGAUUAUAAUUCGGAUUCUGACUAAGAAUAAGACCGGAAAUCUUGAAUUAUUGGUUAUAAUUAUUUAUAAAUAAUAAAGCAUGUCAAUUGCGUGAUACGUGAUAAUGUGAUUACAUGAAUAUUAUGUGUAUAUAAUAAUUAAAAAUAUUUGUACACCACGAAAGGUAGAUUAGAAUACGAUUUAGAAUUCUCGAUUUGGACGACGAUUUGGAUUCGUCAACUGAAUUAUUGUUUUCUUGUAGAAGAAAGUGUUUAGUUGAAAAGCAAGCCGAGCAGUAGAGUAUUUUGUUGAUGAAUUGAGAAUUUCAUUCAGAGGCAAGUGUUCCUGUCCCGAACUUAUUUUUAUUGCAAUUGAUGUUGCUAUUAUCCUGAUUCGUAUAAAUUUUAAAUUGUACAUACAGCCUAUGCACAAUAAAUUAUUCUCACAAGUCACUAUUUAUUCUUAAAUUGUUAGCCAGAAACAAUUGUAUGUACCAACAUGCCUUGACUUAUACCUUGACUUUUGACAAGACACUAAACCUUUUUUUUUCCACCACUAACCAGAAUCAAUUAUUUCUACCAAUAUUUUACCGUGACUUGUGAAUUAUCUGAACCUAAACAGUCUUAUCUCAUUUUACCAAUAAUUGAUUCGUUAUUUGGAAUCAAUUAUAUACUUUAAUUAAUUGUAUCCACCUUACCAAUUUUCACUAUUCAAUGUUUAUCUACCACCCGGUAUCUUUUCUGUAGUUGUCUAAUUUAAAUAUUGUCGAUUGUGUUUCCAAAUACUGUUCUCUGAAUAGUUCUUUUAUUCAAAAUUUCAAAGCAAUUAUUGAGAAAAAGAUUUACAAAUGACAGCCACUUUCUGGUGGUUGAAUUAUUAUGAUAGUAUGAGUUUGACUUGGAUUUGCUUUCUAUUGAAAUCAAAUUAUUUUGUAAUUGGAACGUAUGCGUAAGAGACCGAGACGCCGGUCCAGCGAAUAGGCCAAUGUGUGCCUGGAAUUCCUCAGAUUUGGUGACAUUCUUCUUGCAUGAUCCGGUGCUAUCUCGCGACUGAUCAUCGGCUAUAGCACAGCGUUAAUAAUUCCAAUUAUAUACAAAGAGAUUUAUGAAAACGAUUUAUGAGAAAGAUUAUGAAAAUUCUUAUGAGAUUGUUUAUGAUUUAAUGCCUUUCUUUGCAGCAUUAAGUUGUAUUGAUAAAGUUGAAUUAUUGGUAAUUCUUUCAGCAAUGAUAGUUUUAAUUUAAGAACAAGGUUAGCCAUGCAUUUUUAAAAAUAUUAUUGUUGAGCAUGCUUUGCUCAUCUUUGCUUUCCUGUGUUCAUUCUUUUAGUGAAAACUGAGGAUGCCUCGUCUUCACACCACACGUAAGAGUGUGCCAGUGCAUCAUCCUUUGGUCUUUAGGUUCCAUCUCCCUAACCAGGUGGGUUUUGGUAUAGAUAGUUUGAAGUGAGAGAGUAUAUAGUUCGUUAUAAUAUAUUAUUAGUGUGUAAAACUUAUCUAGACAUUUAGUCAUUGGCAUAGCUUCUCGUCGAAGUUAUCCUAAUGACAGCAGGUGUGAUGUAAUAACUUUAUAA